AUAUUAGAACUUAGAAUGUUGAAUCCAACAGUUCCCAACGGAUCACUAAACUGAAGCAACGUUGCGCGUGGUUAGAAUCCGGAUGGGUAACCACCAGGACAAUCGCGUGCUGCUAUA
rnacentral:rRNA from 1 species